CCUAGAAUUGGGUAACAUAUUUUUAAGCACAAAGCCACUUUCUUGACAUUAACGGGAACGAGCCUUCUUUGCCGAAUACUUGCUUUAUCCUCUUGAUAUAACUAUCCAGGGCACGCGGCAAUAACACUUUUAAGUUCAACCAAUGCUUAGCUUCCAUUGGAACUUCCGUUGACAGGACUUUGACCUCCAUGUGGCACAGUGCCUUU
rnacentral:lncRNA from 1 species